rnacentral:lncRNA from 1 species
GCUUGGCACACGCACAUGGAAUUGAAGGAACGUCUCUGGCCUGUUCACAUCUUAGUUCUCUAGGGGAGUUUCUAAGUCAUAUAUGACACCCAAUUGUCCCAUAAAUACACUCCGUGGGGAAUUUGCAUUCAGAAACAUGAUCACCCUAGGCACGUACUAUAUCCCACAACUAACUUCAGGGAAUCUGCUACUUUUCCAUUCUUUAAAACUAUGCAAAGGAGAGUAGGGGAAAGAAAAGAGGGAGGAGUCCAUAUGCUUGCCCAUGGGUUUGCACAGGUAAGAGACACACAGGUGGGCUGGAUCUGAUUGGCAGUAAUUUGGCUCUCAGUCCACAUGGUCACCUUGAAACCAGGAAUACAGAAGAGGUCUGCAGGGUAUCCUAAGGUUCUCUGAUGUCUGUCUCUGCCUUAGUCUAGGAGUCCUAGUAUAGUUCAGCAGGAAUUCCCUCAUGUUCUCCUUUCUAGCAUUGCAUAGCACAUUACAUGAAGCUUCCUAUUUUCUUACUAUGUUUGUGUUUAGAUUUCUGCCUCCAAUACUGUCAGGUUCUGUCUGUACUUCUCAGAGGAAGAUUUUUUUUUUUUUUUGAGUCAGAGUUAUGCUUUUGUCGCCCAGGCUGGAGUGAAAUGGUGCCAUCUCGGGUCACUGCAACCUCCACCUCCCAGGUUCAAGUGAUUCUCCUGCCUCAGCCUCCCAAGUAGCUGGGAUUACAGGCCUGUGCCACCAUGCCCGGCUAAUUUUUGUAUUUUUAGUAGAGACAGGGUUUCACCAUGUUGGUCAGCCCAUGUCAAACUCCUGACCUCCAGUGAUCUGCCUGCCUCAGCCUCCCAAAGUGCUGGGAUUACAGGCAUGAGCCACCACACCCGGCCCUCAGAGGUAGAUUUUUAUCUUUAUUUUUUGAGACAGUGUCUUGCUCUGUCACCCAGGCUGGAGUAUACAGGUACAACGUGAUCAUUGCUCACUACAGACUUGACCUCUUGGGCUUAAGUGAUCCUUCCGUCUCAGCCUCCUGAGUAGAUGGGACUACAGGCACACAUCACCAUGCCCAGCUAAUUUUUAAUUUUUUUUUAUAGAGACAAGGUUUCACUAUGUUGCCCAGGCUGGUCUUGAACUUCUGAGCUCAACUGAUACUCCCUCCUCGGGCUCCCAAAGUACUGGGAUUAUAGGCAUGAACCACAACGCUUGACCCAGAGGUAGAUUUUAAAAUGGGGUUCUUGGCAGUUAGUAAGAGCCUGGCCAUUUCUUUCAACAAUAACUCAGAGCCUCUUACAUUCAAUUCACCUUCCUCCCUACUCUCAUUUAUGGCUUCACAUGAUUCAUCCUGCUUAUACAGACAGCAAUCUCUUAAGGGACAGGACAGGUAUUAAGACACCUUUCCUGGUAGAUGAAUUAGUUGAGACUCAGAGCAGGGACAUCCCAGGCCUGUGGGUCACCUAGAGUGUUAAUGGCAGUACUGAGAAGAGAAUCCCCUUAUCCAGGUGCUGCUGGAGCAACUUGGGGUGCUCAUUCUUCAGUGAGGGUCUGGAUUAGUGAAAGGGUACGGGAGAUCCUGAAACAUGGGGAUCGAGGAAGAGCACGCAUGCUUUGGCUUAGUGCAGUGCCUGACACAGUGUGGAUUAUGGGAUGUCCCAGCUGUGGGAGGAGCCGAGGGCAUGGAGGGGAAGCCGUUCACUAGAGGCAAGCAUUUCCACAGCAAGGAUAAUACCCAGCAGGGUGGGGAUGAAGGAAAUAGUCCUCAAAGGAGACAGGGCAUCUGGGGCAUCUGUGAUUGGGCUAGGCUUUAUCUGCUCUUCGUAGGCUUUGUUUUAUUCAGUCGCCAUGACAGCCUUGGAAAUAGUUAUCAUUAUGCCCCUUUCUCCGAUGGAACUACUGAGUCACAGGGAAGUCAUGUAAUUCCCAAGACACCUGCACCAAAGACCUUAGGUGUCAUUCACAUGGGGGAGUAACUCACAUGAAGCUUCGCAUGAAUGAAGUCUCCCGAAAUUACACAGCAUCAUACAGUUAUUCUUCAUUCUGCAUCUUCUGAGACUUUCUUUUUUUUUUCUCUUGAGACAGGGUCUCACUCUGUCACUUAGGCUGAAGUACAGUGGCACGAUCUCAGCUCAGCGC